rnacentral:rRNA from 1 species
AGCGUAGACGGAUGGACAAGUCUGAUAUGAAAGGCUGGGGCUCAACCCCGGGACUGCAUUGGAAACUGCCCGUCUUGAGUGCCGGAGAGGUAAGCGGAAUUCCUAGUGUAGCGGUGAAAUGCGUAGAUAUUAGGAGGAACACCAGUGGCGAAGGCGGCUUACUGGACGGUAACUGACGUUGAGGCUCGAAAGCGUGGGGAGCAAACA